GUGAGGAAUAUUGCGCAAUGGAGGCAACUCUGACGCAGCCAUGCCGCGUGCAGGAAGAAGGCGCUACGCGUUGUAAACUGCUUUUAACCGGGAAGAAACCCCAGGACGUGUCCUGGGUUGACGGUACCGGAGGAAUAAGCACCUGCUAACUUCGUGCCAGCAGCCGCGGUAAUACGAAGGGUGCAAGCGUUAUCCGGAGUCAUUGGGUUUAAAGGGUGCGUAGGCGGAGCGUUAAGUCAGUGGUGAAAUGCUGCAGCUUAACAGUAGACUUGCCAUUGAUACAGUCGCUCUUGAGUGCGCUUGAAGUGGGCAGAAUGUGCCGUGUAGCGGUGAAAUGCUUAGAUAUGGCACAGAACACCAAUUGCGAAGGCAGCUCACUAAGGCGAUACUGACGCUGAGGCACGAAAGCGUGGGGAUCGAACAGGAUUAGAUACCCUAGUAGUCC
rnacentral:rRNA from 1 species